ACGCAGAAUGCUUAACACAUGCAAGUCUACUUGAACUUCGGUUUGGGUGGCGGACGGGUGAGUAACGCGUAAAGAACUUGCCUCACAGUUAGGGACAACAUUUGGAAACGAAUGCUAAUACCUGAUAUUAUGAUUCUAGGGCAUCCUAAGAUUAUGAAAGUUAUAUGCGCUGUGAGAGAGCUUUGCGUCCCAUUAGCUAGUUGGAGAGGUAACGGCUCACCAAGGCGAUGAUGGGUAGCCGGCCUGAGAGGGUGAACGGCCACAAGGGGACUGAGACACGGCCCUUACUCCUACGGGAGGCAGCAGUGAGGAAUAUUGGACAAUGGACCAAAAGUCUGAUCCAGCAAUUCUGUGUGCACGAUGACGUUUUUCGGAAUGUAAAGUGCUUUCAGUUGGGAAGAAAAAAAUGACGGUACCAACAGAAGAAGUGACGGCUAAAUACGUGCCAGCAGCCGCGGUAAUACGUAUGUCACAAGCGUUAUCCGGAUUUAUUGGGCGUAAAGCGCGUCUAGGUGGUUAUGUAAGUCUGAUGUGAAAAUGCAGGGCUCAACUCUGCAUUGCGUUGGAAACUGCAUGACUAGAGUACUGGAGAGGUAAGCAGAACUACAAGUGUAGAGGUGAAAUUCGUAGAUAUUUGUAGGAAUGCCGAUGGGGAAGCCAGCUUACUGGACAGAUACUGACGCUAAAGCGCGAAAGCGUGGGUAGCAAACAGGAUUAGAUACCCUGGUAGUCCACGCUGUAAACGAUGAUUACUAGGUGUUGGGGGUCGAACCUCAGCGCCCAAGCUAACGCGAUAAGUAAUCCGCCUGGGGAGUACGUACGCAAGUAUGAAACUCAAAGGAAUUGACGGGGACCCGCACAAGCGGUGGAGCAUGUGGUUUAAUUCGACGCAACGCGAGGAAA
rnacentral:rRNA from 1 species